CUUGGCUUCAGUGGAAGGCCUAAAUGAACUGAUUUGCAUCUCACAUCAAUUAUAUUAUUUGGAAUAAUGAAAUGUCUGAGUGCUUUCAUUCCGAAAUCAAGCCGUGCCCCUCCAGGUGAGAGGGGUUGUGCUGCACGUUAGAAAUGUUGGCUGUGCCCCACUCCUGAGUUCUGGCAUCUGGGAAGGUCCCAUUGUGGUUUGGACCUCAGCCUUCUCUAGACUUAGAGAUUUC
rnacentral:lncRNA from 12 species